UCCGAUAUGGUGUAAUGGUUAACAUUGCCGCCUCUCACGAGGGCUUAAGCUAUAUCUGUUUCGCGGCAGCUCGGGGUUCGAUUCCCCGUGUCGGAA